rnacentral:rRNA from 1 species
GACGAACGCUGGCGGCGUGCUUAACACAUGCAAGUCGAACGCUGAAGCUCAGCUUUUGUUGGGUGGAUGAGUGGCGAACGGGUGAGUAACACGUGAGUAACCUGCCUCCUUCUUUGGGAUAACGCCCGGAAACGGGUGCUAAUACUGGAUAUUCACUUGUCUUCGCAUGGGGGUUGGUGGAAAGGGUUUUUCUGGUGGGGGAUGGGCUCGCGGCCUAUCAGCUUGUUGGUGGGGUGAUGGCCUACCAAGGCUUUGACGGGUAGCCGGCCUGAGGGGGUGACCGGUAACAUUGGGACUGAGCUACGGCCCAGACUCCUACGGGAGGCAGCAGUGGGGAAUAUUGCACAAUGGGCGAAAGCCUGAUGCAGCGACGCUGCGUGAGGGAUGGAGGCCUUAGGGUUGUGAACCUCUUUCGCUAAUGGUCAAGCCGCAACAAUGGUUGUGGUGAGGGUAGUGGGUAAAGAAGCGCCGGCUAACUACGUG